rnacentral:rRNA from 1 species
UACAGAGGUGGCAAGCGUUGUUCGGAAUUACUGGGCGUAAAGGGCGCGUAGGCGGCCUUCUAAGUCAGACGUGAAAUCCCCCGGCUUAACCUGGGAACUGCGUCUGAUACUGGGAGGCUUGAGUAUGGGAGAGGGAUGUAGAAUUCCAGGUGUAGCGGUGAAAUGCGUAGAUAUCAGGAGGAACACCGAUUGCGAAGGCAGCUCGCUGGGACGUUACUGACGCUGAGACGCGAAAGCGUGGGGAGCAAACAGG